rnacentral:rRNA from 1 species
AUUGAACGCUGGCGGCAGGCCUAACACAUGCAAGUCGAACGAGUGGCGGACGGGUGAGUAAUGUCUGGGAAACUGCCUGAUGGAGGGGUAUAACUACUGGAACCGGUAGCUAAUACCGCAUACCAUCAGAUGUGCCCAGAUGGGAUUAGCUAGUUGGUGGGGUAACGGCUCACCAAGGCGACGAUCCCUAGCUGGUCUGAGAGGAUGACCAGCCACACUGGAACUGAGACACGGUCCAGACUCCUACGGGAGGCAGCAGUGGGGAAUAUUGCGCAAUGGGCGCAAGCCUGAUGCAGCCAUGCCGCGUGUAUGAAGAAGGCUUUCGGGUUGUAAAGUACUUUCGGCGGGGAAGCGGUACCUGCCGAGGAAGCAACGGCUAACUCCGUGCCAGCAGCCGCGGUAAUUC